GGGCACCGGCGGAGGGACGAGGGGGGGAGACGUAGGUGGCUGGGGUGAAGCGGAAGUACUGGGCGUGAGGCGUGGGCAGGCGGUUUUGUAAGGCAGGGGGGAAAUCCCCUGGCUUAACCUGGGAACGGCGUUUGGGACUGCCAGGCUAGAGUACGGCAGAGGGGGGUGGAAUUCCACGUGUAGCAGUGAAAUGCGUAGAGAUGUGGAGGAACACCAAUGGCGAAGGCAGCCCCCUGGGUCGAUACUGACGCUCAUGCACGAAAGCGUGGGGAUCAAACAGGAUUAGAUACCCCAGUAGUC
rnacentral:rRNA from 1 species